rnacentral:rRNA from 1 species
UAUGUGAUCGUCUCUCGCAUAUCAAUAAGCGGAGGAAAAGAAACUAACAAGGAUUCCCCUAGUAACGGCGAGUGAAGCGGGAAGAGCUCAAGAUUUGAAAUCUUAAAGGGUUUCCCUUUACGAAUUGUAGUUUAAAGAAGUGUUUUCUGUUGAGGUUUUGGUAAAAGUUCUUUGGAAUAGGACAUCAUAGAGGGUGAGAAUCCCGUAUUUGACCUUUACUUUCAACUUUGUGAUACACUUUCAAAGAGUCGGAUUGUUUGGGAAUGCAAUCCAAAAUGGGUGGUAAAUUUCAUCUAAAGCUAAAUAUUGGCGAGAGACCGAUAGCGAACAAGUACCGUGAGGGAAAGAUGAAAAGAACUUUGAAAAGAGAGUUAAACAGUACGUGAAAUUGUCAAAAGGGAAGCGUUUGACACCAGUGUUGUUUUUCUGAAAAUCAAUUAAAGAACUGUUUAUGCUAAGUUGUUUAGACUUUAUCAGCUAAUCUGCUUAGUUUUGAGCUUUUCUUUAAUGCACUUUUCAGUUAACAAGUCAACAUCAAUUUCUUUUGCUGUAAAAAAGCUUGAGGAAGGUGGCUUGAGAUUCGUCUUAAGUGUUUAUAGCCUCUUGCCUAUGCAGUCGGAGAGAUUGAGGUCUGCAGCGUAGAUCCUUCGGGGCUAAAUGCAUUUGUGCUAAGUUAUAGCAUUUUAUAGACAACUUGUUGACUAUGAUUUGUCUUGUAGCUUACUCGCUUAUGUUAUUUUACCUACGCUUAGGAUGUUGAUAUCGCGCUCUCACUG